GACACAAUCAGCCCCAGGCGAUCCAGCUUCCCUCCAUAACCUUUUGACAUUGCUGCUGGGAAGGUAAAUGAGAGAAGAAGUUAGACACAGAGAGGGGGGGGGGGGGGGAAGAAGCGAAAAGACCGAAAGACUCGAUUAUGAAGAGUGCCAGGAAGUGGCAAGACCAGAAAACAACAUCACAAAGCGCCGACCCUUUAAUGUGUUUUAAAAAGAGGGAA